AUUGAACGCUGGCGGCAGGCUUAACACAUGCAAGUCGAACGAGUGGCGGACGGGUGCGUAACGCCUCGGAACCUGCCUGAUGGAGGGGGAUAACUACCGGAAACGGCAGCUAAUACCGCAUACUAUUAGAUCGGCCGAUAUGGGAUUAGCUGGUUGGCGGGGUAACGGCCCACCAAGGCGACGAUCCGUAGCUGGUCUGAGAGGAUGAUCAGCCACACUGGAACUGAGACACGGCCCAGACUCCUACGGGAGGCAGCAGUGGGGAAUAUUGGACAAUGGGCGCAAGCCUGAUGCAGCCAUGCCGCGUGUAUGAAGAAGGCCUUCGGGUUGUAAAGGACUUUCGUCAGGGAAGCGUUACCUGCAGAAUAAGCACCGGCUAACUCCGUGCCAGCAGCCGCGGUAAUAC
rnacentral:rRNA from 1 species